AUUACCUUUAAUUCUAUCCGGCGAGAUAGGGAAGGAAAAAUUGAACGACAAACUAAAUAAGAAUUUUAAUAAGGAAUCCUCCUUGAAAAGAUUUCAGGGAGGAUUUUUUUU
rfam:Ignavibacteria bacterium GWC2_36_12 gwc2_scaffold_1932, whole genome shotgun sequence.